GUUCGAGCGUCAUUAUGACCAAUCCCGUUCUGCGGGGUCUUGGGCACCGCCUCCGGGCGGGCCUCAAAACCAGUGGCGGUCCGGCCGGGCUCUGAGCGUAGUAAAUCUUCUCGCUAUAGGGUCUCGGGCGGCACUGGCCAGCAACCCCCAAUCUUUCACAGGUUGACCUCGGAUCAGGUAGGGAUACCCGCUGAACUUAA
rnacentral:misc_RNA from 1 species